rnacentral:rRNA from 1 species
UGGGGGAUAUUGCACAAUGGGGGAAACCCUGAUGCAGCGACGCCGCGUGGAGGAAGAAGGUUUUCGAAUUGUAAACUCCUGUCGUUAGGGACGAUAAUGACGGUACCUAACAAGAAAGCACCGGCUAACUACGUGCCAGCAGCCGCGGUAAAACGUAGGGUGCAAGCGUUGUCCGGAAUUACUGGGUGUAAAGGGAGCGCAGGCGGACCGGCAAGUUGGAAGUGAAAACUAUGGGCUCAACCCAUAAAUUGCUUUCAAAACUGCUGGCCUUGAGUAGUGCAGAGGUAGGUGGAAUUCCCGGUGUAGCGGUGGAAUGCGUAGAUAUCGGGAGGAACACCAGUGGCGAAGGCGACCUACUGGGCACCAACUGACGCUGAGGCUCGAAAGCAUGGGUAGCAAACAGGAUUAGAUACCCUGGUAGUCCAUGCCGUAAACGAUGAUUACUAGGUGUUGGAGGAUUGACCCCUUCAGUGCCGCAGUUAACACAAUAAGUAAUCCACCUGGGGAGUACGACCGCAAGGUUGAAACUCAAAGGAAUUGACGGGGGCCCGCACAAGCAGUGGAGUAUGUGGUUUAAUUCGAAGCAACGCGAAGAACCUUACCAGGUCUUGACAUCCGAUGCAUAGCUUAGAGAUAAGUGAAGUCCUUCGGGACAUCGAGACAGGUGGUGCAUGGUUGUCGUCAGCUCGUGUCGUGAGAUGUUGGGUUAAGUCCUGCAACGAGCGCAACCCUUAUUGCCAGUUACUACGUAAGAGGACUCUGGCGAGACUGCCGUUGACAAAACGGAGGAAGGUGGGGAUGACGUCAAAUCAUCAUGCCCUUUAUGACCUGGGCUACACACGUACUACAAUGGCGUUUAACAAAGAGAAGCAAGACCGCGAGGUGGAGCAAAACUCAAAAACAACGUCUCAGUUCAGAUUGCAGGCUGCAACUCGCCUGCAUGAAGUCGGAAUUGCUAGUAAUCGCGGAUCAGCAUGCCGCGGUGAAUACGUUCCC